UUCUGCUUUUAACACGAAACCUCCUCCUGGUUGAACGUUCCUGGCGCGAUUGCUAAAACCCAGAGCGAGCCGUUCUAGUUUAUAAACUUUGCAAUAAAGUAAAGAAAGGAGGAUUCACUUUCGCACGUCAGCCGUCACUCACGUGCACGUACAUACGUGCAUCUCCACAUAUGCGUACUCAAUGUUUGCUGAUUCAAGGUCCCCGUGAUUCAUGUCCGUUUAUGAAAUGUAAUAUGCACAUUGUCGACGUAUGCACGCCGGAGUCACGGUCGUAACGAGCCAUGUUUCGUUCAUUACAAUACAUACCUACGCGACCGGGAGAGUGGACGCGCUGUUUCCGUAACGAGUGAAAAUUGGGGUCAAUCGCUCGAUUCCUCAUUCGCGCGCCUUCACGAUCAACGAGGCUGUGUUUUCCAUGAUGCCUGUUCUUGAUUUUCGAAGGAUAAAGCAGACGAAAUCAGCGACAUAAAAGGAAGAUCUAAUUGUCGGGAAUAUUGAACGCAUCCCUCAGAGGCUGAGGAGAACAGAUCAGAGAGACCGUGUGAAAGUACAGGCGCCAGGAAUUAAUAAUAGCGAACGGAGAGCGGUAGCUCAAUAACGCGGAAACAGCCGCGGCGAUAAAAGGGCUGUGUUCCCUGUCACGGCGAGGAAUUGUAGCGUCCCCGGGUGACAGGCAUGAAAUUCACGGCAAUACGAUGCGCGCACGUUCUUCUACGGAUCGCGGACCGGUCGUUCCACAAAUUAAUGCCGAACCGGAUGACGUUGAUUAAUAAUUGUAUAUGAUGCUGCAAGUCCGUGGGAAUCCGGAAUUUCAUGUUUUCAACUACACAAAUAUUCAAUUAUACUGUCGAUAAUCGAACACCCCUUUUGGAAACAUUUCUUUAGACAACAAGAAAAUUAAAUUAAUCACGUUUCCUGUAGAUAUUAACAGGAUUA